AUUUUUUUAAAUAUUCUCUAAUAAAAUUAAAAUCUGUUCUUAUCAGUUUAAUAUCUGAUACGUCCUCUAUCUGAGGACUAUAUAUUAAAUGGAUUUUUGGAACAGGGAGAUGGAAUAGGAGCUUGCUCCAUCCACUCCACGCAUCGACCUGGUAUUGCAGUACCUCCAGGAACGGUGCACCUCCC
rnacentral:snRNA from 1 species